rnacentral:rRNA from 1 species
AGAGUUUGAUCCUGGCUCAGAACGAACGCUGGCGGCAGGCCUCAAACAUGCAAGUCUAGGGGGUGUAGCAAUACAUCACCGGCGGACGGGUGCGUAACGCGUGGGAAUGUACCUAUUGGUUCGGAACAACACAGGGAAACUUGUGCUAAUACCGAAUGUGCCCGUAAGGGGAAAGAUUUAUCGCCAAUGGAUCAGCCCGCGUUCGAUUAGCUAGUUGGUGAGGUAAUAGCUCACCAAGGCGACGAUCGAUAGCUGUUCUGAGAGGAAGAUCAGCCACACUGGGACUGAGACACGGCCCAGACUCCUACGGGAGGCAGCAGUUGGGAAUCUUGGACAAUGGGGGAAACCCUGAUCCAGCCAUGCCGCGUGAGUGAUGAAGGCCUUCGGGUUGUAAA